GUGUCAGCAGCCGCGGUAAUACGGAGGGGGCUAGCGUUGUUCGGAAUUACUGGGCGUAAAGCGCACGUAGGCGGCUUUGUAAGUUAGAGGUGAAAGCCUGGAGCUCAACUCCAGAAUUGCCUUUAAGACUGCAUCGCUUGAAUCCGAGAGAGGUGAGUGGAAUUCCGAGUGUAGAGGUGAAAUUCGUAGAUAUUCGGAAGAACACCAGUGGCGAAGGCGGCUCACUGGCUCGGUAUUGACGCUGAGGUGCGAAAGCGUGGGGAGCAAACAGGAUUAGAAACCCUUGUAGUCC
rnacentral:rRNA from 1 species